CGAGCUCUGAGACAACUGGGAGAGAGCUGUGCAUGGGGGCUUUGCCUCGAGCGGCGAUCGUGUGGGACCAGCGUCGUUCUGCGGAGCGGCCUGGCACGUUGGUGGCGGGGUUGCAAAAUCAAACGAAGAUUAUGAGAUCAGUGAUGUGAGUGAUCUGCUACAUUUCCUUUCAAACCUGAGAUCCGGGUGUGCAGCUCAAUUAGACCUCAUACUUGCGUGCCUCUGACUUUGGUGCUGUACUUUGCAGGAUGAAACAGACGUUCCGAACAGCUACUGAAAAUUGACAGAGCUCUGAAGUGUGCGAGGAUUACUGAAGAAGCAUUUAACAUUUAACUUUCCCCACUGUAACACCCAGAGGUAUGGCUUUGUGGAUGUAUACGUAAUGCCUCUGACUUCUAUCUUGAUUUUUCUUUUAGUUUGAAGAUGAUGUCACUACACAAGGUAGCCACACCACGUGCAAGGACCUUGCUUACAUAUGUCAAUGAUUUAAAGGAAAGAUGUUACUGUUACUGUAACUCAUAAUCCUCUCAUCGCUGUUAUAAGUUGCUGGAUAACUUCUGAUGUCAUCUUUGUAGGCUUUGGGCCUCUAACUAAAGAAAUCAAAGAAAAACAUGUAACAAAUAACAUUGCAUUCCUCUUUGACUGGAAGUAAGGUAGGUUGUACUAUAUUUGUCUGUCUUAUUAAAAACCAUUGGGAAACAUACCUGUCUUGUCAGGGACUUUAUACAAUUACCGCUGCAUUGCAUAGGAAAAUGAGAAUGCAGCCAAUUACUACAUGGCAUUCAGUAUUGUUUGAUUAUUAGCAUGCAUUCAUGCUUCUUUUCACUAAAAUGACAUUUAAAGCUAUGAAACAUAGUUCUAUACGCUUGGUUCAUUAAGAAUGAAAAUGCAAAGUUAAACACAAAAGAAGCGGAAGAGAAAAUGAUCAGUGAGGAAGAGGAUUCUGGAUGGAUUAUCUAUGUUAAGAGGCUCAAAGGCAGGAUUAAAACAGAGGCAGUCAAAGCAUGUGCGUGGUUGCCAAACAAGUAAAAUGGAAUAUCGGAUCCAUCUGGCAGCACAUUAGGCAAAUAAAUAGAGAGGCUCAUUAAUUACUGUAUUCACAUUAAACAGUCUGUAAACAAUUACUAGAAACCAAAUAUUAUAAAAUAGAUAAAAUCAAAGAGCGUGUCACAGGGCAAAGAAAUAAUGCUCCUGAAUGUAUUGGCAUAUCUUCUGAGUGUACAGGUUAGAGACUGUGCUCUUCUGACCCCUGAGCAUGAUUUAACUUUCUACUGAAAAUAGAGAAUUCUUUUCUUACUUGACUUCUGUGUUGUCACUGAGAAGACACAUCCGAGUUAUUUUCUUGUGAGUCUUUUUCAGCAUUUAUUUUUUAUAAUGGUACUAUAAAAGGUUAAGAACUUCAA